GCCGAGGUAGCUCAGUCGGUAGAGCAACGGACUGAAAAUCCGUGUGUCCCCAGUUCGAUUCUGGGCCUCGGCA
rnacentral:tRNA from 4 species